rnacentral:rRNA from 1 species
AGCGAACGCUGGCGGCAGGCCUAACACAUGCAAGUCGAACGAACCUUUCGGGGUUAGUGGCGGACGGGUGAGUAACACGUGGGAACGUGCCUGUAGGCUCGGAAUAACUCAGGGACACUUGUGCUAAUGUCGAAUGUGCCCUUCGGGGGCAAGAUUUAUCGCCUUUAGGGGGGCCGGCGACGGUUUAGCUAGUUGGUUUUGGUAAUGGCGAAGCCAGGCGACGAUCAGUAGCUGGUCUGAGAGAAUGAUCAGCCACAUUUGUACUGGGACACGGCCGAGACUCCUACGCGAGGCAGCAGUGGGGGAUCUUGCGCAAUGGGGGAAAGGCUGACGGAGCUAUGCCUGUAGAAUGAUGAUGGUCUGAGAAUUGUAAAAUUCUUUCACCCGGGACGGUAAUGACGGUACCCAAAGAAGAAGCCCCGGCUAACUUCGUG